UAAUAAUAUAUUUUUUUAAUAAUUUAGUUUAAUGAUUUAAAUAUUUAUUAUUAUUAUUAAUUUUUUAAAAAUUUGUUUUAGGAAUUUGCAUCAAGGUUACGAUCACAAAAUUCCUCAACAGGAAUGCACGGAUGUUUAGCUCUCCCUUUUGGUGGUCGUUCAACAAGAAGUUCCUCCACAACUGUACAUAGUCCUAGUUCAAGCCCUACAAGAACACAGAGUGCACAAGGUUCUCCUACAAAUACACACAAACCCUGGAGACCACGUGCUCGAUCAGCUGA